GACGAACGCUGGCGGCGUGCUUAACACAUGCAAGUCGAACGGAAAGGCCCCUUUGGGGGUACUCGAGUGGCGAACGGGUGAGUAACACGUGCGUAACCUGCCCUUGACUUCGGGAUAACUUCAGGAAACUGGGGCUAAUACCGGCUCGUACUCCUUGCUGCAUGGUGGGGGUUGGAAAGCUUCGGCGGUUUUGGAUGGACUCGCGGCGUAUCAGCUUGUUGGUGGGGUAGUGGCUUACCAAGGCUUUGACGGGUAGCCGGCCUGAGAGGGCGACCGGCCACAUUGGGACUGAGAUACGGCCCAGACGCCUACGGGAGGCAGCAGUGGGGAAGAUUGAACAAUGGGCGGAAGCCGGAUGCAGCAACGCCGCGUGCGGGAUGACGGCCUUCGGGUUGUAAAACGCUUUCAGCAGGGGCGAAGCUUGUGGUGACGGUACCUGAAGAAGAAGCACCGGCUAACUACGUG
rnacentral:rRNA from 1 species